rnacentral:rRNA from 1 species
UCGAACGCGAAAGUCCCGCAAGGGAUCAGUAGAGUGGCAAACGGGUGAGUAACGCGUGGGUGACCUGCCUUCGAGUGGGGGAUAACGUCCCGAAAGGGACGCUAAUACCGCAUGACAUCCUGCCUUUGAACAGGCGGAGAUCAAAGCCGGGGACCGCAAGGCCUGGCGCUUGAAGAGGGGCCCGCGUCCGAUUAGCUAGUUGGUGGGGUAACGGCUCACCAAGGCAACGAUCGGUAGCCGGCCUGAGAGGGCGGACGGCCACACUGGGACUGAGACACGGCCCAGACUCCUACGGGAGGCAGCAGUAGGGAAUUGUUCGCAAUGGGCGCAAGCCUGACGACGCAACGCCGCGUGGAGGAUGAAGAUCUUCGGGUCGUAAACUCCUUUCGAUCGGGACGAAUUCUCCGGGGGUGAAUAAUCUCCGGAGGUGACGGUACCGAGAGAAGAAGCCCCGGCUAACUCCGUGCCAGCAGCCGCGGUAAUACGGGGGGGGCAAGCGUUGUUCGGAAUUACUGGGCGUAAAGGGCUCGUAGGCGGCCAACUAAGUCGGACGUGAAAUCCCUCGGCUUAACCGGGGAACUGCGUCCGAUACUGGAUGGCUCGAGUUUGGGAGAGGGAUGCGGAAUUCCAGGUGUAGCGGUGAAAUGCGUAGAUAUCUGGAGGAACACCGGUGGCGAAGGCGGCAUCCUGGACCAAUACUGACGCUGAGGAGCGAAAGCCAGGGGAGCAAACGGGAUUAGAUACCCCGGUAGUCCUGGCCCUA